rnacentral:rRNA from 1 species
AACGAACGCUGGCGGCAUGCCUAACACAUGCAAGUCGAACGAGACCUUCGGGUCUAGUGGCGCACGGGUGCGUAACGCGUGGGAACCUGCCCUUAGGUUCGGAAUAACUCCCCGAAAGGGGUGCUAAUACCGGAUAAUGUCUUCGGACCAAAGAUUUAUCGCCUUUGGAUGGGCCCGCGUUGGAUUAGCUAGUUGGUAGGGUAAAAGCCUACCAAGGCGACGAUCCAUAGCUGGUCUGUGAGGAUGAUCAGCGAGACUGGGACUGAGACACGGCCCAGACUCCUACGGGAGGCAGCAGUUGGGAAUAUUGGACAAUGGGCGAAAGCCUGAUCCAGCAAUGCCGCGUGGGUGAUGAAGGCCUUAGGGUUGUAAAGCUCUUUUACCCGGGAUGAUAAUGACAGUACCGGGAGAAUAAGCUCCGGCUAACUCCGUG